rnacentral:rRNA from 1 species
AUUGAACGCUGGCGGCAGGCUUAACACAUGCAAGUCGAGCGGGGAAAUAUAGCUUGCUAUAUGACCUAGCGGCGGACGGGGGAGUAAUGCUUAGGAAUCUGCCUAUUAGCGGGGGACAACAUUCCGAACGGGAUGCUAAUACCGCAUACGCCCUACGGGGGAAAGCAGGGGAUCAUUUGACCUUGCGCUAAUAGAUGAGCCUAAGUCGGAUUAGCUAGCUGGAGGGGUAAAGGGCUACCAAGGCGACGAUCUGUAGCGGGUCGGAGAGGAUGAUCCGCCACACUGGGACUGAGGCACGGCCCAGACUCCUACGGGAGGCAGCAGUGGGGAAUAUUGGACAAUGGGGGGAACCCUGAUCCAGCAAUGCCGCGUGUGUGAAGAAGGCCUUUUGGUUGUAAAGCACUUUAAGCGAGGAGGAGGCUACCUGGAUUAAUACUCUGGGAUAGUGGACGUUACUCGCAGAAUAAGCACCGGCUAACUCUGUGCCAGCAGCCGCCGUAAGAC